UUAAGUUCAGCGGGUAAUCCUACCUGAUUUGAGAUCAAACGUUCAAAAGGCUGUCCUCACGAGGAGAGACAUUUGUGAGCUCCAGUGAACCUUCAUUGCUGAAGGUUACAUGGUGGGAAACCACAAGCGUAGAUAUUUAUCACACCUAUGGUGCCACCAAACACUGGCAAGCUGAUCCAUUUGAGAGGAGCCAACCAAUA
rnacentral:misc_RNA from 1 species